GGUGUUAUUCCUAUGAGUACUCCCCAGUAAACCUCUUGGGUGCAAAGGUCCACCUCAGAGUCUGUUUCCCAGGGAACUUGACCUAAAAAUGUAGGGCUUACAUUUUACAUGGGACCUUCCUUAUCCAGGUGGACCACAGAUUUACACUGUAAACCUAGGAUAGCAAAAGGCAAAGGAAUGGUGACUGUAGCCAAGCUAGACAGAGCUGUGACAUAUUCAGCAUUUUCAGGAUAUCAAAAUCAAGUAAGAGGUUUAAACUCUGAAGAGCCAAGAUGGCUUCAUCAAAACAGCAAAGAUCUGCUACGCAUCUCUCCGAGAUCUCUUCAAUAAGAACUCCAUCCUUGGGGUGCCUGGGUGGCUUACUCAUGAUGUGAGAUGAUAAAAUGCCUACCUAAUGAGAUGAAGUGAGAAACAUGAAGUAAGCACUGUGACAUAUAGUUGUGCUACUACUGUACAUCAGAAGAAUCAUCUGCUUCCAGACCAUGGUUGACGGCAGCUAACUAGAACCAUGGAAAGUGACCCAUGGAUAAAGGGGACUACUGUAUAUUCCAGGCAUUAUGAUAGCUGUUUCAUACCUUUAUUUUAUUA